rnacentral:rRNA from 1 species
GCGACCCCAGGUCAGGCGGGACUACCCGCUGUGUU